rfam:Pongo abelii chromosome 6.
GCUAGCUCGGGCCGGGAGCAGCCGCAGCCGGAGGAGGGGGAGGAGGAAGAGGAGAAGGAAGAGGAGAGGGGGCCGCGGUGGCGACUCGGCGCUCAGAAGCCGGGCUCAUGGACGGGUGAGGCGGCGGUGUGCGCAGACAGUGCUCCAGCCGCGCGCGCGCCCCAGGCCCUGGCCCGGGCCUCGGCCCGGGGAGGAAGAGUAGCUCGCCGAGGCGCCGAGGAGAGCGGGCCGCCCCACAGCCCGAGCCGGAGAGGGAGCGCUAGCCGCGCCGGCCCCGGUCGGGCCUCCGAAACCAUGAACUUUCUGCUG